GACGGGUGAUGCAAGCGUUAUCCGGAAUUAUUGGGCGUAAAGUGUCCGCAGGUGGUCUUCCAAGUCUGCUGUCAAAGACCGGAGCUCAACUCUGGGCAGGCGGUGGAAACUGGAAAACUAGAGCACGGUAGGGGUAGAGGGAAUUGCCAGUGUAGCGGUGAAAUGCGUAGAUAUUGGGAAGAAUACCAGUGGCGAAGGCGGUCUACUGGACCGUAACUGACGAUCAGGGACGAAAGAUAGGGGGGCGAAAGGG
rnacentral:rRNA from 1 species